GUCACUGAGACAGGUGGUCACCAGCUGGCAAGUAGGAUCCCAGCCCGGUGUCUCCGAAAGCCCUUCGCAGUAAGAAAGCAUGAUGGUCCCAGUAACGCACCAGAAUGGCCUUGCUGGCCGUCGGCCUGAGAUUCCAUCUCUGUCAGAUGCCUGGCUCCAUGCCCUGCCACUCCUCCCACAAGAAUUUAACUUAAGAAAAGGUUUGCUUACGGUUCUCCCCACACUGGGAAGAGGCAACAAGCUCUUUCAGGGGCAUCAACACUGACCGACCUCUGACUUUUUGUGGAUGUCUAAGGCGAGAGGGGUUGGGGUAAUGAAAAUCAAAUAGGAGAAACGAGCGAGUGGAUUUGCUCGCUACUGUUUAGAAACAGACUGUGUGUGUGUGUGUGUGUGUGUGUGUGUGUGUGUGUGUGUGUGUGUGUGUGUGUGUGUGUGAUAGAGAGACAGAGACAGAGACAGAGAGAGACACACACAGAGAGAGACACGGACAGAUGGAGGAACCCGGGUAGCAUUUUCAAAGAACAAAGGACUUGAUCUGAUAUUUUUUCAUUCUGCAAAAUUAGCCUUGCUUCUGUCAACAUUUCAGCCUUGGCCAAGAUAUUCAAGUUACCAUCUUCACUACAGACACUAAACUACAGAACCCAGGGCAGCAUACUGGACCUAUUUUUAGGCACUCAAAUAGCCAUAUGAACAGAUCCAAGGAGGACAGAUUUGAGCGAGCAUCUGAGAAGAGGCUUCUUCUGUUGCAGACAGACUAACUCUUCAAAUGACUAAUGGUGGCCCACAGCUUGGCUGUAGUAUCCUGAAAGACUGAGGCAAUCAUCUCGUGGCUCAGUCAUUCCUGAAUUCCCAUUCCACAGAAACUAUGCAAAAUGAUAAACCUUUGCUAUUUGAAAUCACUAUUUGCAGUAAUUCAUUUGACAGUAAUAACUGCCUGAUGCAAAGUUGGUUUUUGUCAGCCUGAUGCAAACCUAGAUACAGCAGGGCAGAGGGAAUCUCAACUGAGGAACUGCGUCCAUCAGAUUGCCCAGAGGCAAGUCUGUGGAACAUUUUCUUAAUUAACCACUGAUAUGGGAGGGCUCGGCCCUCUGUGGGUGGCACCCUCCAUGGACUGGUGGUCUGGAAUUAUCUAAGAAAACAGGCUGAAGCUGUGAGAUACAAACCAGAAAGCACCAUUCCUUCAUGGUCUGGUGCUGGAACUGCUUCAGUUCCUGCUUCUAGGUUCCUGCCUUGGGUUCCUGCCUUGGGUUCCUGCCCUGCCCUCCAACUUCCACAUGACUCUGAACUGAAGUUGAAACCCUUUCCUCCUCAAGUUGCUUUGGUCAUGGUUUCUUUCUCAGCAAAAUAUGUAACAAUCUUUGUAUUUACAAAUAACCUAUAUUUUUAUCAUACAGUGGGGCUAUAUGCACUACCGUGGGCUCUCAGUCAUUUUAAAAGUCCUAGGGAUGAGGAAGGACUGGGAUAGCAUCUGAUUUAAAGGAAAAGAGGUAGAGGUUCUGAUGGAUCAAACCACCCCCUAGGACACACACGUUUAGAUGUGUGCAAAGCCACAGAUACCAAACUGACUCCAAAACCUGGUGCACAUCCUCUGACUGUUUCCAACUCCCUCACUGUGACUUUUCAUAACUCUACACAGGGUUUAUUCUUAAGUCAUAUUUCCCUUAGUCCUGAAUUUAUCAACCUGGAAGUAAGUUUGAGUGACAUGAAUCUGCUCUAUUGUAUUGCUUUAAACUAGCAUUGUCUGAUUGAAAUGUAAAUUCUGGCACCACAAACAUUUCACAUUUUCUACUAUAUU